UUGGCCAUUUUUCCGCUGGGGGGUCUUGGGACCCCGAACUUCGGGGGCUGUUUUUUGGGCGCGGCUGUGCCCGUGGCCUAUUUUUGGCACACGGAGGCCUCCCGCCAAGUCUGGUGCCAUUCCGAGUCCCGCGGACGAACUUCGCCCACGCCCCCCACCAAGGCUAUAGCCCACCCGUUUUUUGGCCAUUUUUCCGCUGGGGGGUCUUGGGACCCCGAACUUCGGGGGCUGUUUUUUGGGCGCGGCUGUGCCCGUGGCCUAUUUUUGGCACACGGAGGCCGCCCGCCAAGUCUGGUGCCAUUCCGAGUCCCGCGGACGAACUUCGCCCACGCCCCCCACCAAGGCUAUAGCCCACCGUUUUUUGGCCAUUUUUCCGCUGGGGGGUCUUGGGACCCCGAACUUCGGGGGUUGUUUUUUGGGCGCGGCUGUGCCCGUGUCCUAUUUUUGGCACACGGAGGCCGCCCGCCAAGUCUGGUGCCAUUCCGAGUCCCGCGGACGAACUUCGCCCACGCCCCCCACCA
rnacentral:lncRNA from 1 species